rnacentral:rRNA from 1 species
GACGUAGGGCGCGAGCGUUGUCCGGAUUUAUUGGGCGUAAAGAGCUCGUAGGCGGCUUGUCGCGUCGACCGUGAAAACUUGGGGCUCAACCCCAAGCCUGCGGUCGAUACGGGCAGGCUCGAGUUCGGUAGGGGAGACUGGAAUCCCUGGUGUAGCGGUGAAAUGCGCAGAUAUCAGGAGGAACACCGAUGGCGAAGGCAGGUCUCUGGGCCGAUACUGACGCUGAGGAGCGAAAGCGUGGGGAGCGAACAGG